AUGGAUGGCGUGGCAUUUGCAUUG
rnacentral:siRNA from 1 species